CAGGUGGAGCCCGGCGUGUGAUCUUAUUGGUAGUGUGGUUGGCAAUCUAUCAUAAGACACACGCGGCUCUCCCUG
rnacentral:pre_miRNA from 1 species